UACGGGGGGGGCAAGCGUUGUUCGGAAUUACUGGGCGUAAAGGGCUCGUAGGCGGCCAACUAAGUCGGACGUGAAAUCCCCAGGCUCAACCUGGGAACUGCGUCCGAUACUGGAUGGCUUGAAUCCGGGAGAGGGAUGCAGAAUUCCCGGUGUAGUGGUGAAAUGCGUAGAGAUCGGGAGGAACACCAGUGGCGAAGGCGGCUCGCUGGGCCGGACCUGACGCUGAGACGCGAAGGCGUGGGGAGCGAACGGG
rnacentral:rRNA from 1 species